ACUCCUACGGGAGGCAGCAGGGAGGAAUAUUGGGCAAUGGGGGAAACCCUGACCCAGCAACGCCGCGUGAAGGAAGAAGGCCUUCGGGUUGUAAACUUCUGUGACAGGGGAAGAAAGAAAUGACGGUACCCUGAGAGGAAGCCACGGCAAACUACGUGCCAGCAGCCGCGGUAAUACGUAGGUGGCGAGCGUUGUCCGGAAUCACUGGGCGUAAAGGGCGCGUAGGCGGUUUAUCAAGUCGCAUGUGAAAUACCAGGGCUCAACUCUGGGGGGUCAUGCGAAACUGAUGGACUUGAGUGCAGUAGAGGGAAGCGGAAUUCCUGGUGUAGCGGUAAAAUGCGUAGAGAUCAGGAGGAACACCGGUGGCGAAGGCGGCUUCCUGGGCUGUAACUGACGCUGAUGCGCGAAAGCGUGGGGAGCAAACAGGAUUAGAUACCCUGGUAGUCCACGCCGUAAACGAUGGGUACUAGGUGUAGGGGUUUCGAUACCUCUGUGCCGCCGUUAACACAAUAAGUACCCCGCCUGGGGAGUACGGUCGCAAGAUUAAAACUCAAAUGAAUUGACGGA
rnacentral:rRNA from 1 species